GUCGAACGGUAACAGGCCGCAAGGUGCUGACGAGUGGCGAACGGGUGAGUAAUGCAUCGGAACGUGCCCAGUCGUGGGGGAUAACGCAGCGAAAGCUGUGCUAAUACCGCAUACGAUCUAUGGAUGAAAGCGGGGGACCGUAAGGCCUCGCGCGAUUGGAGCGGCCGAUGUCAGAUUAGCUAGUUGGUGGGGUAAAGGCCCACCAAGGCGACGAUCUGUAGCUGGUCUGAGAGGACGACCAGCCACACUGGGACUGAGACACGGCCCAGACUCCUACGGGAGGCAGCAGUGGGGAAUUUUGGACAAUGGGCGCAAGCCUGAUCCAGCAAUGCCGCGUGCAGGAAGAAGGCCUUCGGGUUGUAAACUGCUUUUGUACGGAACGAAACGGUCCGGGUUAAUACCCUGGGCUAAUGACGGUACCGUAAGAAUAAGCACCGGCUAACUACGUGCCAGCAGCCGCGGUAAUACGUAGGGUGCAAGCGUUAAUCGGAAUUACUGGGCGUAAAGCGUGCGCAGGCGGUGAUGUAAGACAGGCGUGAAAUCCCCGGGCUCAACCUGGGAAUUGCGCUUGUGACUGCAUCGCUGGAGUGCGGCAGAGGGGGAUGGAAUUCCGCGUGUAGCAGUGAAAUGCGUAGAUAUGCGGAGGAACACCGAUGGCGAAGGCAAUCCCCUGGGCCUGCACUGACGCUCAUGCACGAAAGCGUGGGGAGCAAACAGGAUUAGAUACCCUGGUAGUCCACGCCCUAAACGAUGUCAACUGGUUGUUGGGUCUCUUCUGACUCAGUAACGAAGCUAACGCGUGAAGUUGACCGCCUGGGGAGUACGGCCGCAAGGUUGAACUCAAGGAAUUGACGGGGACCCGCACAGCGGUGGAUGAUGUGGUUUAAUUCGAUGCACGCGAAAACCUUACCCACCUUUGACAUGUACGGAAUUUGCCAGAGAUGGCUUAAUGCUCGA
rnacentral:rRNA from 1 species